rnacentral:tRNA from 1 species
AAAUUUAGGUUAACACAAACCAAGAGCCUUCAAAGCCCUAAAUAUCGAGCUGACACCUCAUAAUUUCUG